rnacentral:tRNA from 1 species
AAUAUAGUGCCUGAUUUAAAAGGAUAGCUUUGAUAGAGCUAAUCAUGUAUUUUUUAUACCUAUAUUA